AUGAAAUUCUAGCCCAAGGUCACACAGCUGGUGUGACAGAAUAGAAUCCACCCUCCAUUCUCAUUCUGGAAUGACAACGAGAUGUUCUUUGGCAGAGGGCUCAGACCAAAUCAAGACUACGCGAUAUAGCCACUAUGUCCUUCUGCUGCUGGGAUCCCUUGGAAUAAAAUCAAGAAAAGACUAAAGGGCCUCAGGGCCUGGGGAGUGAGCAGAUUAACAAGAUAAAAAAAAAUUCUGUGCUAAUACGUUCAUGGGAAAAACCAUCCUGGGAGGAUAUGUAUGUUGUCAGUGGGACCAUCCACACAUGGUCCCCCUCCUAUGACCCUGUCAAUGGCAUUUUCAUGUCCAAGCAGAUGGGAAAAUAUGCGAUGGAGAGCAGACAGGGGAAGGGCCCUCAGCACGCUGCAGAGCACCCCACAUCCAUUUCCAGGCUCUGCUCCACCGGAAAAGCUCUCACUUCCCCUGAUCUGGCUAACUUGAUUCUUCCUUCCGAACUCAGUGUCAGAAUCCCAAUUCUGGACAUUCUCAGCCACUUGCAGAUCCGGGCAUCCCUGCUCUGAGCCCCCGUGGCUGUCUGUAUCACCUGUCUUCGGGCUAACUGUGUGUGGAAUUGAUUCGCCCAUCUGCAUGCUUCCUAGACUACCAAGUGGAAGGAUCGCAACAAUGUCAUUCGAUUUAACAUCUUCAAUACCUAGCCCUGUACCUGGCACACAACAGAUGAAACACCUGGGUCGCAGAGUGGUUAAGUGCCAUGCCGGGCUCGUACAGACUGUAAGCCUCGCUUCUGGGCUUUGAGCUCAGCACUGUAGCCCCAGAGCCUCCGCUGAAUCCAACGACUGCUUCCUGGGGACUUGCAACAAUGCCCUGUGACUUCUGAGAAGAUGAGUAUCCUAUUUGCCAAGUUGGUUCCCCACCCGACCCCGCAGUGGCCACCCAACAGCCUGGCUGAGCCCGCCAUUUCUGUUUCCUCCUCCUAAGACUGCUCGCCCUCUGAUAGGAGCAGCUGAUCCUCUGGAAGGCCCAUGUGGGCAUGGCUGGAGCUGACCUGCCCCUGUCAAGUUCGUAGCAGAGGAAACGAUCCCAGUUUCCCAUCUGACAUCGCCCUUCAUCACCCUAGUUCCUGUGUUCCAGGCACACCUGUCAUGUUUCCACAGAUUCUAAAGCCAUCCAGGCCAAAUGGCUUAUUUGCUUCUUCAAUCCUCCAGUGUUUUUCGCAGUACCAGACCUACUAUGGGAACUCAGUAAACGCAUGUUUAAAGA